UGGGGAAUCUUGCGCAAUGGGCGAAAGCCUGACGCAGCAACGCCGCGUGAGCGAAGAAGGCCUUCGGGUUGUAAAGCUCUGUCAGGGGGAAAGAAGGCACCUGGGUUAAUAGCCCAAGGGCUGACGGUACCCCCAAAGGAAGCCACGGCUAACUACGUGCCAGCAGCCGCGGUAAUACGUAGGUGGCAAGCGUUGUCCGGAAUCAUUGGGCGUAAAGAGCGCGUAGGUGGCUUGUCAGGUCCGAUGUGAAAACCUGGGGCUCAACUCCAGGCGUGCAUUGGAAACCGGCUUGCUAGAGUCUGGGAGAGGAGAGUGGAAUUCCUGGUGUAGCGGUGAAAUGCGUAGAUAUCAGGAGGAACACCGGUAGCGAAGGCGGCUCUCUGGAACAGUACUGACACUGAGGCGCGAAAGCUAGGGGAGCGAACAG
rnacentral:rRNA from 1 species